AAAGAUAGAGGUCGCGUUAAUUAUGAGUAAGCCGUCUGAUGUGUCAGGCACAGGGGAGGACAGUUGAAAGGAAAAGACGCCGAAAGUAUACAGUUCCUGAGAUUGUAUACUUGGGCAUAGGGUGAAGAACUCUAUGACUGUCAUCGCAAGAUGGGGAGCUAUCU
rnacentral:ncRNA from 1 species